rnacentral:misc_RNA from 1 species
UUUCCGUAGGUGAACCUGCGGAAGGAUUAUUACCCUUUAAUCAGAGGUUAGGCUUUAGUAUUAAGGGCAUUCCCCUCCUCCUAGCCCUACCUUUCUAAUUUUACCCGUGAUUUUUGCGCACUCUAUAUUUCCUCGGCAGGCUUGCCUGCUAGUAGACGAUUAAUAACCUUAUAUAAUUGCAAUUAGCGUUAGUAACGAUAAAAUUAUUACAACUUUUAACAAUAGAUCUCUUAGUUCUGGCAUCGAUGAAGAACGCAGC